rnacentral:tRNA from 1 species
GAUGCUGUAGACUAAUUGGUUAGGUCGCCUACACGGAAUGGAGGAGCUGCGGGUUCGAAUCCUGCCAGUGCCA